UAGGACAGUGGAACGAACGAU
rnacentral:piRNA from 1 species